UGUAGCUCAGUGAUAGAGUGCUUGCCUAGUAUACAAAAUGCCCUGGGUUCAAUACCCAGCA
rnacentral:tRNA from 1 species